UGUACACACCGCCCGUCACACCAUGGGAGUGAGUUGCUCCAGAAGCCGUUAGUCUAACCGCAAGGGGGACGACGACCACGGAGUGGUUCAUGACUGGGGUGAAGUCGUAACAAGGUAGCCGUAUCGGAAGGUGCGGCUGGAUCACCUCCUU
rnacentral:rRNA from 1 species